ensembl:lncRNA
UUUUUUUUUUUGUUUUUGUUUUUUAGGGCUGCACCUGCAGUAUUUGUAAGUUCCCAGGCUAGGGGUCAAAUUGGAGCUGGGGUCAAAUUGGAGCUUCGGCCACAGCUACAUCAGAUCCAAGCCUUGUCUGUGACCUACACCACAGCUCAUGACAAAAAUCGAAUCCUUAACUCACUGUGAGGCCAGGGACAAAACCCGCAUCCUCAUGGAUACUAGUGGGGCUCAUGACCACUGAGCCAUCAUGGGAAUUUCCUAUAAAAAGUAAUUUUAGACUUGAGGCUGAGGGAUAGAUUUAAGAAAAACAAUUGGUCUUCUCUUUUUAAAAGAUCUUAAAUGUUUAAGAAGCUUAGGGGAAAAGGCAAAUAAGACAAUCAUGCUACGGCAUAGUCAUAUUUCAUUUUCUGAAACUCAAUUAGGAGAACUAAUGAAGAAGAAAUGUGUUUCUUGCUUGUAAAAAGCCUAAUUACCAGCAAUAUUUGUUAGGAAAAAUCCAUUUAUCCUGGAAAGAAGGCGUGUAAGUAUUACCGUGAAAGUUAAAAUAGACAGUGCAGAACACUUACGGGACGAUUUCAAAUUUGGCAGUGCCAACAAAUAGAGCUGCUCCAGACAGUACUGCACUUAUUACUUUAAAAAAUUUUCAUAAAUAACAUGUUUCUGACUUGUCUAUUUUAAUGUAUUUUUAGUUGUUGUUAUUCCCAUUUGCAGAGUGAGGACUUGGGUACCAUCAGUGUUUCAGCCAAUGGACAGCCAAUAGAUAAAUGGAGAAAAUGUACUGAUGCCUGCUCUUGUAGGGUCAUCACGUGUGACAAUGCACAUCAAGGCCACAAAAAGUAGUUUAAAACGUUAAAUUUAGCAAAAUAUAAGAAACCAACCUAACAUAAAAAUCCAGAAAUAGUGUACCCAGAAGAGGACCUUUUGAUCCAUUUGCAAGAAAAGGAGACCUGCCUUGACAGACUGGCUCUAUCACAAAGACGUGCGCAGCUUCAGAAAAAAAAGCAGUGCUGCUCAGAUGUUUUAAAUCAAAGUCUGAUGCAGGAAAGGGUCUCAGUUCAUCUACACGUGUUUCACAUCACUGACUUCCUGGUAACAUAAAGACCAUCACCAUACACUGCUCGUAAGAAGGAAAAAAAAAUCUGGAGAAUAUUUCCCAGAGACGAUCAAGAAGUCACCACUGAAUUAAGUGUCACCAUUUAAGGGUGACUUGACCUCUCUUCGGGUGAAAAUACCCAUCAAGAAGAGCCGGAAAAUGUUGUGCUGAAUUUAGGGCACUCGUUUCAAGUGAUGAUGGCUCUGCAACGCCUAAACAAUGAAAAGGCUCUGAGGCUUAGUUUUAAAUAUAUUGUGACAUCAGAAUAGAAGAAUUAUUGCUCAAGUGAUGAUGAUGAACCUGGUAUGUGUGGGUGUCCAUGUAGAAACAAGUACAAUUUUCCCGAUUUCAUAUUCUAGUGUCUUGGACCGCUAACUUGAGGUAUGGUUUCUCUCAAGGACAAAAAAUAUUUACAUAUUGAAAUAUUUCAAUAUUUCACAUCUGAAAUGGAUGCCUUUUUUUUUUUUUUUUUUUUGCCUUUUCUAGGGCCGCUCCUGCGGCAUAUGGAGGUUCCCAGGCUAGGGGUCCAAUUGGAGCUGUAGCCGCCGGCCUACGCCAGAGCCACAGCAACGCAGGAUCCAAGCCACAUCUGCAACCUACACCACACCUCACGGCAACACCGGAUCCUUAACCUACUGAGCAAGGCCAGGAUCAAACCCGCAACCUCAAGGUUCCUAGUCAGAUUCGUUAACCACUGUGCCACGACGGGAACUCCGCCAUUCUAUUGUUUUAAAGGCAAAUAUCUCAUUUUCCCAGUGACAUGAUAACCUCUCUGAACACUAGACCCAUAUUCCAAAGUAUCAUUUAUGGCCUAUAAAACGUCUAACUAGUUCCAAACAUUCAAUAAGGUUUUCCACAAACAUUUUAAAUGAAUGAAUGGGUGAAUAUGUUGAAAAAAAAUUCCUAUAAAUUAAUUUUGAAAUAGCCCCCACACAGUCAAUAACUAAUGCUAGAUCAAAAGAACUCUAAUAAAGCAGUUCAGAACUAAACUGGAAACCUUAGAGAAUUUAUCACUGGUCCCACUCCCAACCCAAACUUGCUCCUCCUUUUGUGUGCUUUCUCUGCAAGAGGUACCUCUUUCUAGAGAGACAGCUCUAUCAAGAGAGAGCCAACACCACCCCCAGUUUCGAUGGUUCCUAAGGACAGAUAAGCAUGGUCAUACUCAAGGCUGUGACGUAUUACACUGAAAGGACACCAAGCACAAUCAGCAAAGGGAAAAGGAAACCAACGAAAUGCAAGGUUUCAAGGGUCCUCUCCCAGGAGAGUCACCAAGGAGUGCACACUUCCUCUUGCAAAGAAUUGUGAUUACACCUGUGGCAUUCAGUCAAACAGAAGCUUGGACUCAGCAGCCAGGGCGUUCCCGGGGGGGCUGGUCACACAGACAGCC